GGAUGGCCCUGUUGCAGGACUAAAGACCGCUUUCUAAUCCAUUGAUCUUCGGAUUAAUAUUCAUAACAUCUGGCCUCAAAUCAGGUAGGACUACCCGCUGAACUUAAGCAUAUCAAUAAGCGGAGGAAAAGAAACUAACAAGGAUUCCCCUAGUAACGGCGAGUGAAGCGGGAAGAGCUCAAAUUUGAAAUCUGGUAGCCUUCGGUUGCCCGAGUUGUAAUCUAGAGAAGUGUUUUCCGCGUUGGCCCAUGUACAAGUCCCUUGGAACAGGGCGUCAUAGAGGGUGAGAAUCCCGUCCUUGACAUGGACCCCCAAUGCUUUGUGAUACACUUUCAACGAGUCGAGUUGUUUGGGAAUGCAGCUCAAAAUGGGUGGUGAAUUCCAUCUAAAGCUAAAUAUUGGCGAGAGACCGAUAGCGAACAAGUACCGUGAGGGAAAGAUGAAAAGCACUUUGGAAAGAGAGUUAAACAGUACGUGAAAUUGUUGAAAGGGAAACGAUUGAAGUCAGUCAUGCUCUUUGGAUUAAGCCGUUCUGCGGUGUAUUUCAUUGAGCGGGGUCAACAUCAGUUUUGAUCGCUGGAAAAGGGCAGGAGGAAGGUAGCACUCUCGGGUGAACUUAUAGCCUCUUGUCGUAUACAGUGAUUGGGACUGAGGAACGCAGCAUGCCUUUUGGCCGGGAUUCGUCCACGUACAUGCUAGGAU
rnacentral:rRNA from 1 species